UACAACAGAAAAUAGUUGUAUUUGUUAAAUUUAGCAUGAACUCAUAUUACAUUUAAUAAGUGUAGAAGAAUGUUGUACACCCUGACCGAGAUAAGGGAUUUGUUGAAGAAGGAUUACAUAAGAGGUCAGAAGGAAUAUAUAUUCCAACAGAUAGAUGAGAUCGACAUACUUAAAGAAAAGGACAUACAAUUGGGUGAAGAAAAAGAGUAUGCUUUAUGCAAGAAAUACAUCAUGCAGAUUGGUGGGAAGGACUAUAAAGAGCACAUAAAUAAAGCCAUGCAAAGGUGUCUCACCAACAAACUCAUGUCCAUAAUGAAUAUGAAGGGGAAGAAAACAAAGAGGCAUUUGGUGAUUCCAAUCUGUUCAAGAUAAUAAGAGAUGCUGUUCUAACCUGCCACACAGAGGCAACUGAAACUAAAGUAAUUGAGCAGUGCUCAAACUAUUUGACGUAUGCUCCAUGAAGAAAAGGAGGAGUUUUAAGCCAAAAGAAUAGUUUUCUUUUCAAAAAAAAUAAAUUUUUCUUUAAAAAAAA